UACUGUGAAGGGGGCCAAAACCAAACUGGAACUUUUCAUAUAGAUUAUUAUGAGAUAAGUGGGAGUGAAGUUGGAUUGCUGCUAUUUUAUCAAACAAUAUUGGAGAUAAAGGGCAAAUUAGAAAUAGGGCGAAAAUUAUUGAAGUUAGUAGGAUCAGCACCAGGUUUUUUCAAUAUUGGGGUUAUUGCAGCAGUUUUAAAAGAUGAAGGAACAGAACCAGUAGUGAGAGAAGAGUGAAUUAUGGCAGAAAUGAGAGGGACCAAAGAGGGGAGGCAGGCUUUAACCAGAACUGUAGGGAGGGGGUCCAGCUGACAAGUAGAUGACUUGGAUUUACAGAUGAGAUCUGAGUUUUCUGAGGAAGUGGGAAGCUGGAAAGAAGAAAAAGAGUGAAUAGGUGAGUGUAGUUCAAAAGAAACAGAGAGAGAAUCUGGACCGAGGUGCUGAUGUAUGCUCUGGAUUUUCUCAUUAAAAAAGACAUAAGAGAAUUACAGAAAGCAGUCGAAUAAAGGUGAGAUGGUAAAGAGUCUGGAGGUUGUGUAACAUUAUUAAGUAAUGAAAACAAAGACUUGUUGUUACCUUUAUUACAAGAAAUUAACUGAGUGUAAUAGUUAGAUUUGGUUUGUGCUAUACAGUCCUUGUAAUAAAGUAAAUGAGUUUUAUGCAUCUCUUUGUGGACAAAGAGUCCGUUUUUUUUAUAUAACCGUUAAAAUUGCCAGCCCUUUGCUUUCAGAAGCCGAAGUUCAGGCGUAAACCAGGGGGCAGAAAAAGAAAAAGAAACAGAUCUGGAUUUAGCGGAGCAAGAGAAUUAAGAAUGCCAUUGAGACCAGUGUUAUAAUAUGAGACCAAUUCUUCAGGAGUGGAUAAAUUAUAAAAGUCCAUUUGGGAAUCAAUUCUAGAAGACAGAGAAUUUAAACUAAUAUUCUUAAUGUUAUGAAAAGAUAUGAGACGGGGGAGCUUAGUAAUAGAAAAAGUAAGUUUAGCAUUAAAUGAAAGGAGAAAAUGAUCAGUUAUAGUGAGUUCAUCUGCUGUAAGAUUGAGAGGGACAACACCAGAGCAGCAGAUCAGGUCCAAGAUAUGUCCUUUACAAUGGGUGUGAACAUCAGUGUGCCGCUGGUAUCCAAAACUCUCCAGGCACGAUAAAAAGUCUCUAGUGAGAGGGAUAUUGAUAUUGUCCAGAUGUAUAUUAAAAUCCCCCAACAGAACUAUAUUUGAAGUAAUUGUAGAUAAAUGGGUAAGAAAGGUAGCAAGAUCGUUCAAAAAAUCAUUGUUUGAUUUGGGAGGGGUGGUAGAUAGUUGCAAUGAUGUUAAGAAUAGGCCCAGACAAUUAACACACAGUUGAUUCAAAAGAGCUAACAGCAGUAGCAGGUAAUGGCAGGACUUUCCAUUUCUCGCGAUAAAUUAUCGCAACACCUCCUACACGUCCAGAGGCACGGGGUUGACAAAUGUAAACAGACAACAGUGGGGUGGAUUCAUGAAGUUGAGAAAAGUCUUGAGGUUGCUGCCAAGUCUCGGUUAAACAGAGAAAGUCAAACUUACAGUCAAUGAGGAGAUCCUGAAUAAGAUGCCCCUUGCUCAUGAGUGAGCGGAUGUUCAGUAGAACGAAACUGACAAUGUUGCUGUCACUUUGACAGUGGUGGUAGCCGACUGAGCUAGGCUAACCAACACGCUGUGGUCAGCAUUCCUAUCCGUGUUGUGUGGAGGGUGCCAAGAGUUGGACCAGAAGGAGUUAACUCCUUUUGAGGCGUCUAUUCGGAAUCUCCAGCGGGACCCACGAUGGAUGUAUCUCCGACGAGGGAGAAAUAUGAUGUCCGGGUUGAAAUGCAGCACAGAGAGCAGAGGCACAAACUGGUGGAGACGCAGUCGAAGAAGCUCAGCAGCUGAGUACUGGAGGAGGCCUGUCGCAGUUUGGAUAGCGAGCAACAGAAGACACCAAACAAACAUUAACCAGGUGAAUAUCCUACCAAUACACAUUGUAGGCGAGGCCACAAGGAUCUCAGGCGUCCAAAGAACAAAUCUGGUAAGUUUCGAAACGGGGUUAGGCUGAAGCUAAUGCAUACACAGCCAUGCAGAGAUAUCAGCAAUAACGGCAAUAUCACCA